UUACGACAAUAUCACGUUGAAACAUUGGUUCCCGUACGAUCGUUGAAGUUAAGCAACAUAGAGCCUGGUUAGUACAUAGAUUAGUGACUGCUUGGGAAUACCAGGUGCUGCAAGC